CAGCUCUCCGAGUGGUAGGGAUGAUUAUUGGGCUUAAAGCGUCCGUAGACUGCUUAGCAAGUCUCCUGUUAAAUUCAGCGACCUAAUCGUUGAGCCGCGGGAGAUACUACUAGGCUAGGAGGCGGGAGAGGUCGACGGUACUUCUGGGGUAGGGGUGAAAUCCUAUAAUCCCGGGAGGACCACCAGUGGCGAAGGCUGUCGACUAGAACGCGCUCGACGGUGAGGGACGAAAGCUGGGGGAGCGAACCGGAUUAGAGACCCGAGUAGUCC
rnacentral:rRNA from 1 species